rnacentral:misc_RNA from 1 species
AUCACAAAAGGCUAUGCAUAUUCCUACUUAAAUUUUAUAGCAAAAUGAAGCAAUUUGUUCAACCAUUUUGUUGCUCAGGACUCAUACAUCAACAUUGUUACCCAAAGUACACUUAUCCCAUGUUUCUUCCUAUAAAUAACAUAAGGAGUAAAGAUGACUGCAGAAAUCAUGUAAGCUACAGCAGCAAGUCAGCAACACACAAUAGAGGAGGGUGUUCAUUCUAUGUCAUCCAGCAAACAAAAGUAAAGCUCACAUCAUUCACAUGUAUUCAAGCAUUUAGGUCCGGCUUGUUGGGGAAAGAGUACUCCGAGCAAAAAAUAUUGUAAUCACACAAACAAAAAGAUAAAACAAAUGAUUAACAAAUAAGAUCUGAUGAUGACUCGAUAAAAAAUGUUUUCUAAAAAUAUUCAAUGAUUUUCUUAGCAUUGCCAUCCUGACUAGAAUAUGGAUACCAUUUCUAAAAUCCUUAGAAGAAUUAAGUUGCAAUUAUAGCAAAAAUGGCCAAUCAUGACGCAAUAUCUUUUUUUCAUGCUGUAUCAAAGUAAAUUUAUCAAAUGAAUCUAUUUCACUAAUUAGAAAAUUAGGCAGCAUGGUGAUCUAGCAGAGAGGUUAACGAUAAAAAAAGUUUCAACAGAUAAUUCAGAAGGCACAAGACAGAACUCAUUUGUACCAUCCAAAAACAGCAAUAAGUGUGCUUUGUGAUGCAAGAAUGGAUAGCUCACCCGUCUGCUGCUACAGUAGAGG